GGGGAUGUGGUUUAGUGGUAUAAUACCUCUUUAGCAUUCAGUGCUCUCGUCUGAGUAGUAUCUUGAGUAGAGGUGGUCCGGGGUUCGAUUCCCCGCGUCUCCA